AACGAACGCUGGCGGCGUGGUUGAUACAUGCAAGUCGAACGGGAAGAGGGGGUUCGCCUCCUUUGUACCGUGGCGGACGGGUGAGUAACACUUGGUCAAUCUGCCCGAGAGAAGGGGAUAAUCAGGGGAAACCUUGCGUAAUACCCUAUAAGCCCACGGCGGGGCAUCCCGCAGGGGGAAAACGGUAGGUCUUCGGACCCUCCGCUCUCGGAUGAGAUCAAGCUCUAUCAGCUAGUUGGUGGGGUAACGGCCUACCAAGGCUUCGACGGAUAGCCGGCCUGAGAGGGUGGACGGCCACACUGGGACUGAGACACGGCCCAGACUCCUACGGGAGGCAGCAGUGCUGAAUUAUUCGCCAAUGCGCGAAAGCGUGACGGUGCGACGCCGCGUGCGGGAUGAAGGCCUUCGGGUUGUAAACCGCUGUCAAGGUGCAGAAAACGCUGUCGGUUAAUAGCCGGCAGCCUGAUCCCACCUGAAGGAAGCACAGGCUAAUCUCGUGCCAGCAGCCGCAGUAACAC
rnacentral:rRNA from 1 species